UACAACUUUCAACAACGGAUCUCUAGGCUCUCGCAUCGAUGAAGAACGCAGCGAAACGCGAUAAGUAAUGUGAAUUGCAGAAUCUAGUGAACCAUCGAAUCUUUGAACGCACCUUGCGCUCCUUGGUAUUCCGAGGAGCAUGCCUGUUUGAGUGUCAUU
rnacentral:rRNA from 1 species